CCUUCGGCGCUGAACGUCGCGGGUGGGUGGGGCUCAGGCAGGGGUGAGCGCCAGGAGGACGCUCAGGGCCUGAGCGCAGUUCCCGCAGCAGGAGCGGGUCCUCAGCUGUCUCCCGUGGGCCUUCUCGCUGCUUCUAGAAGGGUCAGCUCCUGCAGGAAAUGAUGCUCGCCUAUGCCUUGCUCCUGGCCGUGGUGUUGCCAGUGGUUGAUAUGAAUGCAACUGGAAGCGGUUGGACUUAUAAUGUGAAAUGCCAUGACUGUUGGGCCAUCAACACCUUCCGUUGUGCAAACGUCAGAACAUGUCCCUAUCACGUCAGGCGCUGUCUGACGGUCUCUAUUCGUAAGUACCUGUUUCUCUGUCUCACACCUG